GGGGAUAUCUCUGCCCCUCCCCCUCUAUAGAUUGCGCCUAAAUACCUCUCGUCUUAGUUUUGCCGAUCGAUCGAUCUGGGUCUGAGCGCUCAGCCGCAGCCGCCUCGCUUAUUUUAUCUUCCUCCCCCCUUCCGUUCUCGGAAUCCGUCCUAGGGGAAACUCGUCCGCAAGUCAGUAAGUCAGUCAGUCAGUCCGUGUGAUGGUUAAUUUUGCUAUGAAUUGGUCUCUGGUACCCGUACCGUACUCUCAGUUGAUGUUUAAGGUCGUGAUGAUGAUGGAUUAUUGGUGAUUUUUGUGUGGUGAUGAUGAGGAGAUUGCAACAGAUCUCUGUUUUUUGGUUUCAUCGAAAAGUAAAAUGAUGCUGGUUGUUAUCAUCCUCUAUCCAUGAACGAUUGAAUUCUCUGUCAGAUUAGAUCUCUCCUGCAGUGGCAGGACUAUUAUCUCUCCCUGUCAUCCUGUUAUUAAUUGAUUAUGAUGAAGUACAGUUUGGAAGAUGAUUAACUAGUGAUUGUACUUUCAUCUUCUGAGGUUUUUGCGUGGGGAAAGUGAGGUUUUGUCUGGGUCGCGUAGUGGAGCGGAAAGUUUAUACUGGAUUUGCGAUCUACCCUUUUAAUCCGGGGGAAGCGUCAAUAUGGGGUAAGCAAUGGUGUCAGUUCCCCAACCAUGGGGUGUCAUGCCCUGUCUGGUGCUGUUUUGGAUCCACUUUCCUGUCAGUGUCUAGUGGUUGCGUUGUCUUUAAGCUAUCACUGUGUCUGGCUCUGCUCAUGAUUUUUUUGGCCCGUGCUGGUAUGGUCCAUAUACAUCUUCGUUUUUUGUGAUUUAUUUUUGGAUUGCUGUUGUGAUAGCUCUGUAACUAGCAAGGUUGACACUGAAUUUUCUGCUGUUAGACACUGAAUUUCAAUCCCCACUUGUGCAGUUAGUAUUUUUGGGACGGAGGGAGUACUAUAGUGUGCCUUUUGUGCUUAAUCACCAGAAUUAAUAGUCUGGGACGGCGUAGCAUUACUGUUGCGUCUGUGGGGGCGUCUAGAUGAGGAUAGGAUAGAACGUUCAUGUGCAGCACAGUUGGCCGAUGGGAUGGAAGGGAAAGACAGAGCACACUGGCGGGCUGCGGAGAGUUUAAUCCGGUAGCUGUGUACUAGUUUAAUUUUAUUGAUUUAUGUGUGGUACAUGGGCGUAGGCUAUUUUUACUGCAACGACCCGUGACCUGUGUGUCGGCCCCGCAGAGGCAUGUGCCGAAGGGUCGCCGUCAGGUGUCAAUCCGAUCAGGUGCGCGCUCGCGUGCUCCAGUUUUUACUGGCUGGUCAAUGCUGCUAGUCUGCCGGAGGGCACUGUGUCGCUUGCCUGUGUCAGUGUCCUCCGCCUGCCUUGUCUAUCCGAACCCUGUGCUCGCUCUGGCCGUCGUCCAGAUGGCGCGCCAGCGGCUCUCGGCCGUACGUUCGCGCGCAUGGGAGAGAGAAAGAGAACGACCCUGCUGCACAUGCUCUACCUGCCUGCCAUGCCCUCUCCUCCACCAGCGCGCCACGCCAAAAGAUAGGAGGAGAAGAUAAUCAUCAUAUCUAAAUAAACCCACGGUGGUAAUCAUUCUCGUGCUAAUCUUGGCUUAAAAGUUUGUCGUGUGGCCUCCCAGGUCCCAGUGCCAGCAAGAGAGAUCUGCUCUAGAAUGAUAUAAACACUGUUGGAGAAGCUCGCCUUUUUUGUUUUGUUUUCACUCUAAAUGAUUUAAAAGCUGUAGGGGAAGCUCGCCUUUUGUUUUGUUUUGUUUUCUUAUACGUGUUGCCUAGGCGAGACGUAGAUGCAGAUGAUGCGCGCCGUCCAAGGUGUGGACGGUGCGGGCGAUGGAUAGGUACCACGGCCAUUAUUUGUCUCGAUGAUAUGAUGCGUAGGGGUUGGGGCAUCGUAUCCUGUUGCGCGCUUUUCUAUUUUUCGAGCAUCUGUGCCGAUCGAGGGGCUAGAUUAUAUUCUCCCAUCCAACAAUCCCUGUAGAUGUGUUGAUUGAUCGGCAGCAAGAUAUUUGGGCCUCCGUUGAUGGCCGGUGCCGGUGAGCUACCGAGGGAAGUGGGUGGGAACGGACGGCGAGCGAGGAAACUCCUUGGGUGUCAGAUGACCGGGUUUCCUCUUGAUCAUGAGAUUUCAAAUUCCAAAUAGUAUUUCAAAAUUGUUGCACGUAGAGAAGUAUAGAUGUGUCUAUGGAGGUUUCUUGAUCUUGUGCGACAAGGGUUCCAUAUGACCAAUUGUCCAAGUUUAGCAAAAGAUUACAUUUCUAUGUUUGAAAUAUAAUGGAAAGGUAAUCUAGGUAGCAGGUGCAAGCUUAACUUACGUUUUGAUAAAAAAAUAUGUGCGGCCUUGUGCGAAAUCACAAAACGUACUUCUGCAACACAAGUUUAUGUGNNNNNNNNNNNNNNNNNNNNNNNNNNNNNNNNNNNNNNNNNNNNNNNNNNNNNNNNNNNNNNNNNNNNNNNNNNNNNNNNNNNNNNNNNNNNNNNNNNNNNNNNNNNNNNNNNNNNNNNNNNNNNNNNNNNNNNNNNNNNNNNNNNNNNNNNNNNNNNNNNNNNNNNNNNNNNNNNNNNNNNNNNNNNNNNNNNNNNNNNNNNNNNNNNNNNNNNNNNNNNNNNNNNNNNNNNNNNNNNNNNNNNNNNNNNNNNNNNNNNNNNNNNNNNNNNNNNNNNNNNNNNNNNNNNNNNNNNNNNNNNGGGCGACCCGGGGGUGACUAGGGUUUCCCCCAGGCGCCGCCACCCCUCCCCCCAGCCUCUCCUCCCCUUGCCGCCACCUGAGGGACGCCAGGCAAGCCAUGGCGGCUACCGAUGAAGGUGGCGGCGAGGCCUCUUGUCGCUUCGCUCACCUCGCGAAGGACCCCAGACUCCAGGACGGCGAGGCAGUGCUGCCUCCGCGGCAGGCGACACGCGCGGGAUGUGGUGGCCAGCCUCCUCGGCUGCUCAGGGAGCGCGGAGCCGGCGGGUGGUGGUCGUGGCGCGGUCUUCUUCCGCUCUAGAUCUGAAGGUCGGGUUCUCCUCCUCUGCUCACUCCUCCCCUCCCGCUGUGUCCGCCCGGCAGCUUUGGCUGCAAGGCCCGGUGCUGGCGGGGUGCUGGUGGCAUAGAUCGAGUCCGGGGGAAACCCUUGGCCGGUUCUCCGACCACGGCGGUGACGACGCGUGCAUCACCUUUCUUCUUCGAGGCGCCGCUGAGGACUCCUCUAUCCAUCCCCGUCCCAGAUCCCGGGUGAAAGCCCAAACUCGUCUCGGGUUGGGCGGCGGCGGCGCCCUGCGCGCUAUUCCCUCCUUGGAGGCGCCGCCUUGGGGUAUCUGGUUCUCCGGGGGAGUGGCCUCGAGGUAGGAGAGUGCCCGGCGGCUGCGUGUCCACAGCGGCUUGCCGCCCCGGGUCUUUGCAGCUUGCUUCUUCGACCACCCUCAGUGGCUUUCCCUCGCUGUUCUCUGGUGGCCAAGGAAGAUGGUAGUGUAGCUUGUGGGUGUGCCUACAGCGCGGUGAGGACCGUGAGCUAUGCCUACUUUGGGUUUCGGCCGACGCCUGCUCUAGCUCUCGGGUGAGCGCCCAACAAUCCGACGGUCCGGCGCCUUCGAGCCUAGCGAGAGGAAAGGGUUCUUCUUCGGCGUUGGAAGACAGGUGUUCGUGAUCCCAAUCCCUUGAUACGGUUGCUCUCGGUGCUUGCGAGCCAAAGUCUGAUCCUCGAGGCUACUCUGUUCCACGUUCUUGGUGCCGAUGUGCAGCGGGCUCCCACAUUACUUGCAGGUUUUCAUGGAUCUUCUUUGUGUGCAGUAGUGUGCGUUGUGUUAUUAGCUGCUUAUCAGCUCCCUUGUAUCUUUUGGUCGCUCAUGCUUGGUGGCUUUGUGUAAUCCUGGCCGGUUGAUGGCUUUGUUAAUUCAAAGCCGGGAACUUGGAGCCUUCAUUCUAAAAAAAUAGUUUAUGUGACUUGUACGGACAAGCUUGUCACAUAUGAUUAUUCCUUUUUAGAACAAGUCAAUAUUCCAUUUUUUAAAGGUAGGGAUUGCUCAAGGCAUGAUUACAUAUUCCAUGGUUUUCGAGACUUCAAAUUAUGAUUUUCGUGAUUACAAAAACACGUUUACCAGCCCUUUGGUCAUGAGCUGGGUUGGAGACGAAUCUAUAUUCUUAGAAGUAAAGAAAGAACUUUGACAUCCCAAACCUUGGAUUUUGUCUCAAAGAAUGAAUAAAAUCACUUUAUGAUAAGCCUCCUAGAUUGGAAGUGAGACGUUCCUCAUUCACGGUAUUUUUUUUGCUUGAUUUGGUUGCUACUUAUGAGCGUACACUAAAAGAUGCACACAAGGAUUCACAGACCAAAAGAAAACUGUUAAGAUUAAUUAAAUACUUAAUUAAGGGACAAUCCCUGCCUGUAUUAACCGCCAACGGAUGCUAUUUCGGCAACCGUCGCGCCGGUUCACAUACAGACGCCUCUCCAACGAGACGUCCUCCGUGUACCUAUAUAUGUAGAAUCAUCAAUGAAAGAGGAUAGUUCCAUUCAUUCGCUUUGGUUCUCAAUACGUUAUCAGCACCAAAGCAAAUGAAUGGAACUAACCUCAAUUGUGGGAACAUAAACACAUGGGCAGUAGAUCAUACAGAUCUCACAGUAAUAGAGAUAGUCUACACAUGGGCAGUAGAUCGAACUCAUCACCUUGUGUUUUCCUAAUAUAAUGAAGGAGAUGUUAUUGUCAAAAUUUUACAAGUUUGUUGUGGGGGAGAAAUCAAUCACGACCGCUGUGACAUGUUCAUAAAGAAUGUCAAUGUGAUAAACACAUACUCCCUCUGUAGCAUAUGUUGCACCCAAGAUAGUUUUCCAAAAUGUCUUGUACAUGAAAAACUUGGCAUACUCAUCUUGGUCAUCGAGACAUUGGGUUGAAACCGAAACUAUCAGCAAUUCCAAUAGUUUAUCAUUAUUAGAUGCUAAAUUCUAACACCAUUUGGAUUUUAUGUGCACUACAAGUGACACAGGGAAGCUAAUUUUAAGGCUCGCACACUUUAAAGUCUACGCUGAACCACUCAGACUCCUUGAAUGCAUCAAGUUGAGGUAAGUGGCUCUUCCCAUCCGUUGACUAGACUAUUCUGGUAUUCCAUGGUUCUAAAAGACAUAUCUACAUGAUGAUCUUAAGUGUGUGCUUUAUUCACACGAAACCAUUGGCUCAUUAUCCUGACAUCGAUUUCAAGCAAAUCGAAUGGAUAACAUUGCAGAAUUCUCCUUGAGUGCCUUCUUUUAUGGCCCUUGGAUUGAAGUUUAGCAAUUUGUCCUAAUGUCUAGACUCAAAAUGGUUUGGUAGAAUCCUUUAUCCAAAGAGUUAAGCUCAUUGCAUUAUCUUUACUUUGGAAUUGCAAUUUACCAACUUUACGUUGGAGUCAUACAGUUUUACACGCUCAUGACCAAACUGCAUACUAUUAUUCCCCUCUAUCUUUGAUACGUGGAAAUCUACCAAGUAUUUCCCAUCUGCGGUAUUUCGGUUGCAUACCGAUAUCACCACCCCAACAUACAUCAUUGGCCCCUCAACAUAUAGUUGGGAUCCAUGUGAGGAAUAACUGUAUUUUCGUCAAUACCUCAAGCCCCUCGCAUGGGGAGUUAUUUAGGCCAGUAUGUUGAUUCAAUGAGGAACAUUUUCAGGCAUCAGGGGGAGAUUUCAAGUACCAUAAAGAAUGCCAGGAAAUUAGUGGAAUGUUCAACACAUUUCUGCCUCAAAUCCACGUACUCAAAGAUCUGAACCAUGCGUUCAGAAGAUUUGCAACACAAUGCAAAUAACCUGCCAGAUUCAUUUACUGACUAUAAAGAUGUCAUACAAUCCUACAAUCCUAAAAAAUAUGCCGGAAAGAGUGGAGGUACCAACUAAAACCACUCAACUUCCCGUUCAAAGCAACAGGGGGAGAAGUACGACAAUAGCACAUCGGGAUUCAGCUUCUCGCAAGCAAGGAUAUCAAGGCUUGUGAAUCAGUAAAUGCAAGUCAACUUCAUGUUGACAGACACCUGAUGGGUAGUAUACACCCAGUGAACGGGAAACCUCCAUCAACCCAGGUCAUAGUGCACAAAAUGACUGGGACAUCGGAAUACCCGACUCAAUCGCAUUGGGAAAUCGCGAGCAGUCACUAUGGGUAACGAUAUCUCCAUCAACUAUAUAUUGAUAUAUAGAUUCUAGAGAAACAUAUAACCAGAAGUCUACAAUUGUCGACAUACAUUCCUCAACUAGAUUGAAAAAACCUUUCAAGUGAUUCAGAUCCAAAGACCAUGGCCGUGGCAAAGUGUGAACAACACUCGGACUGAACUCAAGCAAAGGGUAUAAUCUAGGUACAAAUGAUCUUGCUCAAUAAUGGAAAGGUAUUCAUAAGCAAUACCUACAUCAGUUUUCUUCUGGAAGCAGAAUUGAUAACAACGAGGUGGUGAAAUAAAGAGCAAGUAUUGUAGCACAAGGGUUUACGCAGAUAUCUAACUAUUCCCCAGAGGUGGAAUCUCUUUCCGAUAACUUAUAUCAUUGGCAGUACAAAAUCAUCUAUCUAUGCAGUUGAUAGAUGUAGUGCUCACAUAUCCAUGUGGAUCACUAGAUUCAUACACAUAUGAUUGAUUCCCGGUGGAAUCUCUCUUCUGAAUCGAAAUGCAAUACGCAACAUACAUUGUGUAAAAACAAUAAGUCACCAUAAGACUUAUUGUUGUCGGUACAUAUGGUACAACCGACGUAGUGAGUUACUUAUACACAAGGAUUACUCCUACAGUGAUGAUUAUCCAUGUUUGUGUCUCUGCAAUGAUGACACAUGUAAUCAUCUAAAUGACGGAGUUUAAAUGAAGGAUUUGUGUAAACCAAAAUAUCGCUCGUUACUACGACUUGAGCACCUUCAUUCAUACAUUAUGGUAUACUAUGUUGUCUAUAUCCAUAAUACAUUGGAGAAAUUCAUUAUGGACAAAUCUUAUCCAUCUAUAACUCUCAUGGUAGUUCAUUCUCUAGACGUAGAGAAAGAUCUAUUUAGACCAAGAGAUGAUGGAAAUGAGAUAUUGGGACUUAACGUUCCGUAAUGCCAUUGGAUCCACCAAACACAAUUGGUUGGUACUCAAGAAUAUCUUUCGAUAUCUCCAAGGCAUGAAACAUCUUGUCCUCGUUUUUUAGUUUCGGAGAAAUCUGAACACCAAUAUCAUUGGAUACAUCGAUCAUCCCCACUAUAUCAAAUCAUAGACAAGUUUAGUGUUCCUACUAGGUGUGGUAGCCCUCUCAUGAAGAGUCUUUAAAACAGACCUCAUGGCUAUUCACCAACCAUUAUCUCAACGAUAAUGUUUUUUGUGUUGCCCGGAUGCAAACAGGUUACAUAAUAAGCAAUAUCACUAUAUUGCAUAUCUUGCAAGUCAAAUCAUGACUGAUUUGGGUCUCUACCAACUUCUAUGUUUUGGUAUGUGACGGCUUCGAAUUUUGCAAGAAUCAGGGGGAGUAUCUUCCUGAAUUAUUCCUGUUGAAUGCAUCAUAUUAUACUCGUUUUCCCUUUAUGAGUUUACUUUUCAGGUUCUCAUAAAGGUUUUUGAUGAGGUAAUAUCAACAUGAGAUCAUGUGUCAUAUUUUCUGUUUUUCCCACCGGGGUUUUUAGGGAAGUAUAUACGAUAUAUUUAUUGUCCUCUAAACUCUAUGGGGUUUCUCGUAUUGAGUUGAAAGAGACAAUAACCAUUAUAUGUUGCACCAUUUUCUCCUUAUUUUUCCCACUGGGUUUGAAGCAGUUUUAGCAACAUAUUCUACACCACUCCUCAUAUUUUUCCCACAGGGUUUUUGGAGGAGACUCUUUCAAGAUGAUGAUGCUACCUGGACAAGCAUGGAUUAGGGGGAGUGUUAAAAUUAAUUAAAUACUUAAUUAAGGGAUAAUCCCUGCUUGUAUUAACCGCCGACGGAUGAUAUUUCGGCAACCGUCGCGCCGGUUCACAUACAGACGCCUCUCCAACGAGGCGUCCUCCGUGUACCUAUAUAUGUAGAAUCAUCAAUGAAAGAGGGUAGUUCCAUUCAUUUGCUUUGGUUCUCAAUAGAAACCCGUAAUACCCAGAUUCUGAAAAUCCCCCAUCCGAACGGUUGGAUGCAAAGGAGCAGAUAAGUCACAUAUAUAUGGCUAAAUAUCGAAUCCUAGCUAAGGAUGUUACUUGUAUGAGUAAUAAAGUCUUGCAAUCUUCAAUUCUCCAAACAAGUAACUUCUUGCAAUCUUUGCAUAACUUGGUCCAAACAAGUCCUGACGGGCAAACAACUUUUUCACCUCUCCAAUUCUCCACAAGCACUGGUGCCAUGUCAUAGCUGCUUCAGAUCACUACUUGGCUAUAUAAAAGCAGCGGCUCCUAUAAAUUGGCGGCUGGGACAUAUAUAUGCGUAGGCAAAAGGCAGAAAAUUGAACAGUAAAUCAAUGACAUCCAACGGAUCGAACACCUCUUGGCACAGUAGACACAAUAAUCAGGUCACUAAAUACAGUAUGAACCAGAAGUGCAACAAAAAUCACAGGAUACGAUAAUACCAAGUCUAGCUACAUGGUCUAGGGUUCAUAACGUGUAUAUUGUGGAUUCUACCCCUCUUCCUCUCAGGGUAGAACUUGGCAUAAGAAGCAAAAAAUGAAAUGGACGGAAACGUUGUGGUAGCAUAUGUGUUUUCAGCCUUGCAUUUCUGAAUAUUCAAAGACAUGAUAUAUCCACCAAUGAUCCACAUCUUCUCACCCUACUCGAAAAUGAAUCCUGUACAGAAAUGAAAAGCCAACGUAAGAGUCUGGUGUAUUAUCAGAAGUAAAAAAAAGGUUCAGUUACUUGACAAUGAAAAUCAAGACACCGAGACAUGGUUGGGUAAGUAUGAAGGAGAUUCGCUUUACCAUGUGCAACUUACCUUGACAUUAAUUUGGGGACAAACUUCCAUUAUAUCUCAUACAGGUAUUUCUAGCUGACAAUCUAAUGUGAAAAACAUCUAGCAAAACUGCUUCCAAAUGAAAAUGCCGAAAAAUGUCAAAAAUUCAUGGCAAAGGAAAUGUGAAAUAAGCAAUCAUUACAUACACUGCUAGAAAUGUUAUGUGUAUAGACUUAUAUUUUUGAAGAAAUUUUAUGUGAACUGUAAGUCUUCCUGGUACAGAAAUGGCAAAUAAUUUAGUGCUGAAUCACAAGGAAACCGAGCACCGAAUAGUUUAUCCCAUAAGAACAAGCAGCUGCUCAGGUCUAGGGAGCCACAAAAAUUGUUACCGAUUAGCACAAACUAUGUAUUAUUCAACAACACAAUAAAUGAAGGUACGCUUGAACUUACAUUUGAGCUUGAUCAGAGCCAAUCAAAAUGUGAAGGUACUGUAUCACUACUCUGAAUAAUCUAUUCAGAAAUUUGUGCUAGUGCCUACAAGACCAGAACUAAUCAGCAAGCCCACAAGUUGCGUCUUUCUGUUUCUUUCUGCAACACAGUUAAAAAUAAACAUCCUCUGCCAACAAAAGGGUUGUUUUUCCUUUUGCGCUCAGAUUUCCAUGCCUCAAACAAUCUGCAAUCCUUACAAAACUGUUCUUUCUACAUACUACUCCCUCCGUUCCAAAUUAAUUGACCUCCAUUUGUCUAGACAUGGAUGUAUCUAGAAAGUAAACAAGUAUAGAUACAUUCGUAUCUAGACAAAUGAAAGUCAAGUAAUUUGAAACGGAGGGAGUAAUUCACAAGUUUGUACUUCACUAUUUGCUUUGUUAGUUUCCGUUCCCACAUAUGGUUAAAACAAAGUUUCCUUCCCACACACAAAAAUUAAUUUUGGAAUAUAGCUAGAGAGCAUGGAAAGUGUCAUUAGUUUGCUCACGUAUGUUAAGUGCAGCACACAGUAACUUGAUAACUUCAUAAAUCCUCUCCUCGACCACGUCACACUUGACUUCAACUAUGUUAAGGUGCCGUGAUAUUGCAGAUGGUCUCUCCAUUGAUUUGUAGCUUCCUUUCAAAUGCAGUUUAUUAUUUUGUCCCUACGGUAAGAAAAACAAACUUUUAAACCAAGAUGGAUGACUGAUAAUAACUAUACUAGUGCAGCAACUGCCAUUUAAAAGUUCUAUACCAUCAAAAACAGUUGAAGAGUUAGUUUCUCUAGAACUGGUGAGUUUUUCAGAAUGCAAAGCAGUGGAUCCAAACCAGGAGCCUCGCACCAGUACUCGUUGAGUAGUAAACUCUUUAGCUUGUUGAAUGUAGGGCAGUGUUUCAAAUCUCUUGCGAAAAUGAACUGGAAAGAAAAUACAAAAGUAAGUAAAUCAAGUAAACCUUACUGAAAAUGCAAGAUGAUGAUCUAAUGCCAUACCUUUCUAGGUAGAGAUCUCAGCUCAAGAUGUGUAGCACUUGAGAUACCACCCAGAAGCACAGCAUCGCCGCUGCCAUCAUCCUUAAUGGGAACACAAUUGUUACAUGCUUUAUCAUUAGCUCCACAGAAAUGACCAGAGUCGUCGUAAUUCAAACAUACAUCCGCGCAGUUAAGGCCAAGAUAAACACGCGCCGUCUCUAGCGACGCCAUGCUCUCAAGGCAAGGCGUUUUAGUGUCCGACGAUCCGACUAGUUUCAGGAUCAGAGAGACGAGGCCCGGAGCAGAAACGAUCACCCGGCGACCCAAGCCGAAGUGGCAGCCGGUGAUGCUCAGAUGCCUCAGGGAACACGACGAUAUCCUGCCGACGCUGACGCUGCAGAGGUUCAUCUUCAGACCCUCCAACGCUGGGCAGCCAGCGAAAUCAAUAAAGCUCUUUGGUAGGUCUACAUCGUGAAGGUCCAGCGUUCUGAGAUGCCGAGAGACGAGAGGCAGGUCGUCCAGGUAGAGGCGUAGAGGGCCGCUCACAUGGAGGGUGAGCGCCCGGGCACUGCACAUCACGGCGAAGCGGGUCCAGAGGUUCACGUGAGUCUGGUCUUCUUCCACGAAUACCCCGAGCUUGAUCUCGACAGUGUCUAGAUCGGUGCGCUCACGCAGGACGAGCAGGUGGUGCAUGAAGUUCCGGAGGUGCUUCUUGUCAUCGAGCCCGACGAUGCGCAGGCCGGUGGUGGACCUCCAGAGGUGGCGCCAGCGCCGGGCGAGCACGCACGUCCGCACGGCCGCCUGAACCGGGAGGAAGGAGAGCACGUGGUGGAGCAUGCUGUCGGGGAGGGCGCUGAUGUGGUCCGGGGCGCUCACCACCGUCAGCGCCGGCGCGCUCUUGCGCUUCUUCCUAGGAGGCAUUACGUCGCCGGCGCCGCGAGGCAGACGACGCGAGGGAUGGGAGAUGGGGCAGAUGGACGGAGUUUACUCGUGAGGACUUAAGUCAGACUCCGCUCUUUAAAAGCCGACGAUAGGAAUUGGAGAUCUUUAAUUGAAGCGUGAAAACUGCUUGCCAGGAUAUCCCAUAUUUUUCAUAUUUUUUUUAGGGUAUGUUGUGAUUUCAUUCCAACAAACAGAUACAGUAUAAUGAUGUCAACAAGAAAACAGAUACAGUAUUUUUUUGUAGAGUAUUGCAACAUGCUUUAUUAUUUAGAAAAAAACAUGCUUUAUUAUUAUUAGCAAAAAUGCACGUGCGUUGUAGCGGGAGAAAAAAAACAUCUAGCCCUAACCCAAUAGCCAUAGCAAAGUGCCCAUACAACUUGUGUAUAUGUCACUAUUCAACAUGCAUGCUUAAAUACCUACUCCCUCCGUCCGAAAAUACUUGUCAUUAAAAUGAAUAAAAGGGGAUGUAUCUAGACAUAUUUUAGUUAUAGAUACAUCCCUUUUUAUCCCUUUGUUGGAGUUGUGUCGAAUAUAGUGUACAAGGUAGGUUACAGUUGGACUUGUAGUUGUAUCGUGUUUACAUAGGAUGUGGAGUCGUGUCCUAGUAGGACACUUGUAUCCUAGGCCUCUCUUAUAUAGCGGGGGUAGACACACGAUGUAACCUAUCCCAAUAUAAUAGCACCGGAAUGCAGGGGAAGCCGGCGGCAUGUGCCGGUGUCCAGGGCGACCAGGUGCGGUAUUGUGACGGUGUCACGGGGAGGAGCGCCCGUAGUCAGGCCCCGGGGAUGUAGCCAUAUCGGUGAACCUCGUUAACAAAUCUCGGUGUCGUGCUUGUGUGAUUGCUUGAUCCUCGGAUGAUUGACGGUAUGCCUCGGAUUUAUUCUAAUAAGUGGUAUCAUAAGCAAGGUUGAAAAGGUCCGGGAGGCGGUGGAGUUGAUUAAUGAAGGAGGUUUUGAAGAGAUCGUGGCUGCGGAAACUGGUCGAUGGCCUAGUCGGCGGAAUAUUGUCUGAUGCGAUCGCGUGGGACAGGACAGGAGGAAGCAGCAAGACGAUCUGGUCUAAAACGGGAGCGAUCUGUUUGCAUGGAGGACUAUCGGCGAUUUGGGCAAGGCGUAGUGUGCACAGGCGGUGAGCCGGAUCGAAUUGUCUCAGCGGUGGCGACGCGUAUCGACGUGGACGACUGACCGGAUUCGAUCCGAAGCGCGUAAGGCACCGGUGCUGGAAGCCUAGGUCGGGACAGGUCCAUGAGGCAGCGCAGGGCGUGGCCACGCACAGUCGCGGCUGGCUCAAGGAGCCGUGAUGAAGCCACAUGCAUGCGUACAGCUAGCAAGCCGGGGAUUUGUUUUGAAAAAAAAAGUGGAGACCGAGUCUCCAUAGUACUGACACGGACAGGCAGGCAAAUCAGUCUAGGAUAAGGAAAACAUCCGUCAAGCGAUAUGUAUCUAUCAGGAGCACUACUUGCGUAGGCAUCAGCAAGGCAAAAGCAAUUAGCUUAGCAUCAGGAGUUAAAGCCAAGACAGGAGCUGCUCACGUGAAGACCAAGUUGAUUGGAAUUGCUAUUAGUACGCGGAGGCUGUUCGUGUGCUUGGGGCAUCAUGUGGAAAGCUUGGAUAAUUUUUCGUAGGAUCAGCCGUACAAAGAACCAUGACGCCAACGGGUACCAAGUUUGAGGUGAAGAAGUUCACGAAACUGAAAACCUUGGGUUAUGGCAGACAAGGGUGAAAGAUUUGUUGGCACAAAAGGGAUGCUUGAGGGCGUUGCGGGAAGUCUUGUUAGCUAAGAUGGAAUUAUGUCUGAUGGAUGAAAAUUUCGUGGAAGACGAUUUGGGAGCCUUGAGUGUGUCAUACAGUCGAACGAGUUCGGCUGGGUCAGACUGGGCAGUCUGACGGGAUCGACGCAGGUCGGUUGAUACAGAAGACGGUGGUGGGAUCGGCGACGACGACAUAGGAGCGUGAUGCCGAUGGUGACCGACUUCUGGGCGUGGAAACAGGUGGCACAAGCCCGAGGCUUGUGUGGCUUCGACAAGACUAUGGCGCGGGAUUGAUUCAAGGUGGUGUAUACACGGAGCUUGAAGUCGAUGAGGCGCGUGGGUGGACUGAUCAUCUACCAUGGAGUCAUGUUGAAGGUGGAGCUGGAUUGAGGGCUACGGCGUAAGUCGACAGAGAGUCGAAGCCUAUUCAGCAGGAAAAGCGAGUGACACGCAAUUCGGGCUGGAGCCCAGUGGUCUGAUGGAAGCGUGAAACUCGUCAUCGGUCGGUGAUGAUCGGUGGUACUCUGCAGUGGGGGUUGAGUGGUGUGGUUUCGCGACCCUUGAGACUCGACCAGGACAGCGGAGGCUCGACGCGGUAAUAGCGGCGAGGUGUGCGGUACGCACGAGGCAUGGAGACGGGCCAGGGCUCUGGUGGUCAUACAUGUGGUGAGACAACUGCGAAUUUGACUCGGGAUGACUACAAGCAACGGUGAAAUUCUUUCAAGUUUCAGACAGACGGUCAAGAAAGGAGCGGUGGUGUUGAGUUCAGGUAACUCUUAUGUGUGACACCCAAUAUGUGAGUUGUUCACUUUCACGCAGGUCAGCGAUCAGUGUGUGAUGGCGUUGGACUGAUGCUCUGGAAGUUGGGAGCGCAAACAAGAGUAAUGCGGAACUUAAUUUUGCUCGAGUGUUGACUGUGGUCAAGAAUAGAAGGGACUACAAGUUGCAGGUGGAGUCAUAUGGAGUCUUUGAAGUAGCAGCGGUGCUCAUGGGAUAAACUCAAGUCCAAUGUACAUGGAAGUUUGACGCAUGGACGAACUCAAGGUGGUGGAGAAUAUUCGUCAAGGUGGAGUUUGUUGGAGUUGUGUCGAAUAUAGUGUACAAGGUAGGUUACAGUUGGACUUGUAGUUGUAUCGUGUUUACAUAGGAUGUGGAGUCGUGUCCUAGUAGGACACUUGUAUCCUAGGCCUCUCUUAUAUAGCGGGGGUAGACACACGAUGUAACCUAUGCCAACAUAAUAGCACCGGAACGCAGGGGAAGCCGGCGGCAUGUGCCGGUGUCCAGGGCGAUCAGGUGCGGUAUUAUGAUGGUGUCACGGGGAGGAGCGCCCGUAGUCAGGCCCCGGAGAUAUAGCCAUAUCGAUGAACCUCGUUAACAAAUCUUGGUGUCGUACUUGUGUGAUUGCUUGAUCCUUGAAUGAUUGACGAUAUGCCUCGAAUUUAUUCUAACAAUUUUGAUGACAAGUAGUUUCGAACGGAGGGAGUACGUAAGCAGAACACGGAUCAUGAAAUGAAAUGAUAAGAACAUCCUGCCAAAGCUUCCUUGUGUGCUUGUGUGAAAUCUGAAGUCAUAAGAAAAAAAUAACUCAUCCGUUUAUGGUUUUGCAAGCCAAAAGGCAACAUCCGCCGCUUAUUUGUCAGGAAGGCACAAUGUCAAACAACGGCGGCAGUGGCAAUUUCUAUUUGGCGCUGCAGGCGCCGGUUUAUACUGUUUUUGCUAACCGGCGCCUGUAGCAGCUGUGAUAAGAUACACGUUUUAUAUCCAUUUCUUCUUUCCUCUUUGUCUUUUUUUCUCUAUCCUUUUCCAAAUUUGUAAUAAUAAAUUUUUUGAAACUCGUGUUUCAAAAUCCAUGAACUGAUUUUUUUGAAACUCAUGAACCUAUUUCAAAAUUGAUGAACUUUAUUUUUCAAAUUUGUUGAACAUUUUUUAUUUUUUUGAACUUUUUCUCAAAAUCGAUGAACUUUUUUUCAAAAUCGAUGAACUUUUUCUCAAAAUUGAUAAACUUCUUCCAAAUCUGAUGAACUUUUUUCAAAUCGAUGAACUUUUCUCCAAAUUAGAUGAACUUUUUUAUUCAAAUCGAUGAACUGCUUUCAUUGUUCGAUGAACUUUUUUUAAAAAACGAUGAACUUCUUUUGAGUUUGUGAACUUUAUUUUGAAUACAUGAAUGUUUUCGUUUUUUGUGAACUAUUUUUUAAACACGCGGACUUUUUUUGGAUGAUCAUGAACUUCAUUUAUAAUAUGCGCACAUGUUUUCAAAUAAAUGAAAAAUCUAAACUCUACAGCAUAAUGCGAAAUUAAUAGUGCGUCUACGUUUCUCUUCUUAAGAAUACUCGCGCCGUCAAGAACCAUUGGCAUUUAGCUGGUGGAGUGUUUAGCAUCGCUGUUUCUAAGUGCGAGGGUGUGAGAUCGAUCCCGAUCGAGUGCUGUUUUUUCAGCCAACUUUUUUCGCACUGCAAGAUUUGUGGGCCCGGAGCGCUCCUUCGGGAUCCUCGCAACGAUCAUCGCGCUCUCAGCCAUUCGUCCACAUGUCGCGCUCUGGGCGCUCCCUCCGAAUUUUAUUUUUUAUUUUUUCGCACAUGUUUUCGUCUUUUUAAACGGGUUUUGGGUUUUUUUUAACGUUUUGGUUUUUCACCGGUCUUCCCUAGCUUUUCGACAUUUUUUUUUAAAAAAAAUAUUUUUUUUGCGCAAAAAAACACAUUUUUUUCGUGAGAGUCACAGUUUUGUUUUCACGAGAGGCACGGUCGUGCCUCUUGGAAACGAAAAAAAAA
rnacentral:lncRNA from 1 species